CUGUGCAGCGCCAGCUCCAACCCGCCUGCCCUGUGCAGAUCCAUGGGCAUGUGUCCUCCCCCCCACCCUCCUGGUGUGCAAGCUGUGAGGGGAAGGUAUGUGGCUGGGUGUAUGCGUUAAUGUGUCUGUGCGUGCAUGCAUCUGCACAUCUGCGUGCGUGUCUAUAUGAGUCUGCACAUAUGCAUGUGUCUGUGUUCAGGGCAGGUAGAGUGUAGUUGUCUCUGUGUGUCCAUGUGCAGAGAAUGAGUAGAGCGCGCACCCAUCUGCGUGUGUGCUUGUGUGCGUCUUUGUGUGCAUGCAUGUGUCUGUGUUCAUGGCAGGAGGGGGAGUGUGUUUGUCUGUGUGUCCACGUGUAGAAAGUGAGUAGAACGCACAUCUAGAGAUGUGAAGUCCCGGGGAAAAAAACAAAAAAAUUAGAAAAAAAAAACGUUUUCCCCCCAUUUUUUUCCAAGGGCUGCUUUGGGGUUUUUUUUUUUUCAGAAAAAUUGGAAAAAAUGAAAUUUUUUGGAAAAAUUAAAAAAAACUUAUGAAAUAUUUUCUUUUAGAAUGAUGAAUAACAUUUUUAAGACAAGGUGUUCAUAUAUUGCUACCAUUUACUCCCCCAAAAUGUUUUCUAAUAACUUUUAUGAAAGCCUCUUUACCGUAUCAGAUCAUUACAAUUCCUGUAUGCCGAGGACAAGCAGUACAGUACAACUCUCAAAUGCAAGAGUAAGAUGCACUUCUGCCCUCAGGAGGCAGUGCCAUUUUCAGAAUAGAAGGAAGAAGGAGUCAGUGCCACCUUUGCUUGUGGACGUCCUCUAUUGUUGACUUUUGAUCUAGAGGUUGGUGGAUCUGCUCCUGUCCUCAUGACUAGGCCUCAGAGGACUGGGAGUGGACACUGGCAGCAGCAUCCAUUUGUUCCUGUAGAGAUUAGAAACGAGCUUAUUGCCCUGCUUGCUCAAAAGCCUCAGGAAAGGAGACGGAGCAAGUCUAAAGGUUUUGGAGUUGGAAGGAACCAGCUGCCUGCUGGUCCUAUGACCUUGAGAUCCACAGAAGUACAGAAGCAGCACAAAGGAGCUGAAAGAAAGUAUACUUCUUUAUUGAAAGCAAAAUGGUGCUAUGAACUUCUAGCAUAUAGACACAUUUCCACACUGCAAGUUAUUUUAAGAAGAAGAAAAUGUGAUUUUCAAAUACUGUCAAAUAAAAUAUGCAUUUCCAAAUGCUACUAAGAUGAUCAAACACAUCCUUGUAUGUAAGAAGUGACCUGCAGACAUUAAAAAAUCCUUCAUGGGUGUAAGUGAGGAAGAGGUAGAUCAGGAUGAUGAAAGUGCAAGUAGCUCUUUCCAGCUUUCUCAAUCCAGAAGUCUUCCUACUGCUGCUGCUGCUUCUUCUAUAACAUUAGCAUCACAAAGGGCUGUCCAGUCAACAUCCUCAAUUAACCAAAUAUUGCAACCAACUGUAUACAGAAGUCUCUCAAUAGCUUCAUCUGUAGACAAGAUGACACUUGAAGAUCAGGAAAAAAAUUGACCAAGAGCAAGAGCAAUAUGUUCUUAAUAGUCAAUAACUGAAAAUGCAUACUGGCAAGAAGCUUUUAAAUGACUACGACCAUCAUACCAUUUGCCCAGCAGACAUUCUUUGAGCAAGCCUCUUAGAGUCAGAAUAUGAACUUGUAAUGCAAUCUGUACAAGGAAAUAUCAACAAAGCACUGUGUCUUGCUGUACUUACAGAUUGAAAGACAAAUGUGUGAGAAGAAGGAAUCAUAAACUUAGUGAUAACAAAACCACAACCAGUUUUUUACAGAAGCAUUGAAACAGGAGAAAACAGGCAUAUUGCAGAGUAUAUCAGUAGUAAAAUAUGUUAAGUCCUACAGAAGAUUGGGAGUGGUAAAAUAUUUGCUUUGCUGACUGACAAUGCAAGUAACAUGGAAGCAGCAUGGGAGAUCAUAAUGGAUAAAUAUCCACAUAUUACUGCAAUAGGAUGUGCAUCCCAUGGGCUAAACUUGCUUCUUAAUGACAUCAUGAAGUUGGACACUGCAAAAAAUCUAUAGAACAGUAAAAGAAGUUAUAAAACAUGUAAAAGCUACUAAUUUUGUAGCUGCAGUCUUUAAGAAGAAGCAGGAAGAAAAGAAUGCAAAGAAUAAAAUAGUGACACAAACUCUGUAGUAAAACUAGAUGGGGUGGAGUGGUGAUCUUAUUUGAAAGUUUACUAAAAAACAAAGAAACUCUUCAAGAAACAGUAAGAACUGAGGAUCUUAAAGUACCCAGAAGUGUAAGGAGCACUGUACUUGAUGAGGAUGUCUUCUGGGUUCAGCUGCAGAACUCCCUGAAGAUUCUAAAGCCAAUUUCUUCAGCAGUCACUGCAUCUGAAUUAGCCAGUGCACUUUGGUCAGACAUUCCUUACCAAAUGGCCCAGAUAAAAUCAACUGUUUUUGAGAAUCUAAGUGUAUCUCUGCUUAGAAGUAUAGAAGAAAGAAAAGUGAAAGACUAUUAGCAGACAGGAAGAGUUUUGUUGCCAAUCAACUCAUGCUGCUGCAAAUCUCUUGGAUCCAAGAUUCAAAGGCAGAAAUGUUAAUGAUGAUAGCACCGCUACUGCAUUUGACUGGAUUACAAAACAAGCAGCACACUUAAGACUUGUGGAAAGGUACUUUCAAAUGUUGCAGAAUACAGACAAUCUUCAGAUAUUUGGUCCAGGAAUGCAGUCUGGGACUCUGCCAAGCAUAUCCCUCCUGCAAGGCCUUUGCAUGACACAGCCUCUGAUUCCUCUUGCUUCUCGCCUGCUUUCAGAUUCCUCCAUCUUCUGCAGCAUGUGAAAGAAACUGAUCUAUAUUUGGAAAUACUCGCACCAAAUCAAGAAAUAAACUAACAUGUGAAAGAGUAGAGAAACUUGUCUCAAUCCAGGCAAACCUUCAGUUUUCAGAAGUCCAUGAAGAUGAUAAAAAUGAAGGAUCAGAAGAAGCAGAAACUGCUGAUAGUGAUAGCUCAGAAAAUGAGACUGAUUAGACAAAGUUUCAUGUAGCAAAAUUUGUAUUUAACGAGU